rnacentral:rRNA from 1 species
GGGGAAUAUUGGGAAUGGGCGCUAGCCUGACCCAGCGACGCCGCGUGAGGGAUGAAGGUCUUCUGGUUGUAAACCUCUUUCCGCUUGGAAGAAGCUAAAGUGACGGUACCUACAGAAGAAGCACCGGCUAACUAUGUGCCAGCAGCCGCGGUAAUACAUACGGUGGAAGCGUUGUCCGGAAUUAUUGGUCGUAAAGAGCUCUGGGGCCGGUUGCCGCGCCGAUUGGGAAAAUCUGACGCUCAACCUCAGACCUGCAGUCGAUACGGGCAAACUAGAGCGUGGCAGGGGAGACUGGAAUUCCU